rnacentral:lncRNA from 1 species
CUCCUGGGCCGGGCUCUCCUGAGCGAAGAGCAUCGGGAAGAGGCUUCCGCGGCAGCCUGCGGCCCCCGCCCAGGCGAAGAGGCCGGGAGGAGAGGAGAUUCCCUUCUGAGAACGUUCAUUGAGCGUCGAUGUGAAGGCCACGGCAUUGAGAGACUUGGAUCUUGCUUUGUCGCCCAGGCUGGAGUUCAGUGGCGCGAUCACGACUCACUGCAGCCUCAACUUCUAGGGCUCAGGUGAUCCCCCACCACGGAUCACCUGACCCACCACCACCCCCGGCUAAUCUUUGGUAUUUUUUGUAGAGACUGGGUUUUGCUGUGUUGCCCAGGCUGAUCUCAAACUCCUGGGCUCAGUGAUCCACCCUCUUCAGCCUCCCAAAGUGCUGGGAUUACAGGAGUGAGCCACCGCUCCUGGCCUCUGAGUUCUUCUCAUGGGAGGCUGAGAAAAGUCUGGGGGUCUGGGACAGCCAGGGCCGGGUUUCCCCUUCCAGGCAAUGAGAAAGAACAGGCUCUGCCUCCCACCAUAAGAGUCAAUCCCAAGUUCCAGAUGUGUCAGGGAAGCGAUGGAGAGCCCCAGACUUGAGGCAUCUGCAGACAGGUUCCUGCUCAGACAUCCACGUGGAGGGUGUUAGUAUCCUGGGAGCCUUCAGAACCUUGAAGCAUGCCAGCAGAGGAGAAUGAGGGAAGAUAAAAUCAAAGUGACUUAUCACAAUUAAGGAAAUGUGCUAUUUCAUGUACAACUGUGUGUGAGGAUGAGAUUCCUACCUGCCAUACUGAGGUAUUAUGAUAAGAACUAAGAGAGUCCAAAUUCCUACAGGAUGAACAGCUGAGGGAGCGAUGCAUUCCUUAGGAAGGAGUUUAGCUUCCCGAAGGAGACGGCAGCUGAGAUAGGUUCUGAGAAAUAGCAUUUUCAUUGGUUCCCCGGGCGCCGUGGCUCACGCCUGUAAUCCCAGCACUUCGGGAGGCCGAGGUGGGUAUCACCUGAGGUCAGGAGUUCGAAACCAGUCAGGCCAACAUGGUGAAACCCCAUCUCUACUAAAUACAAAAAAGUAGCCAGGUAUGAUGGCGCAGGCCUAUAAUCUCAGCUACUUGGGAGGCUGAGGCAGGAGAAUCGCUUGAACCUUGGAGGCGGAGGUUGCAGUGAGCCGAGAUUGUGCCACUGCACUCCAACCUGGGCAACAAGAGCUAAACUCCGUCUCAAAAAACCCAAAACAACAACAACAACAAAAAACAAAAUUGAAUGUUCACUGGCUGAGGGUUAGGGUGGGUGGAGAGAAAAUGCCAGUUGUGUGGAUCUGUUGAUGUAAAACAAAGGCCUAGAGGGUGGUAAACUGGAAGCAGUUCAAUGGGACAGUGCUUGAUGGGACUUUGGAGGUGAUGAGGUUUGAUAUAGUUUGGAUUUUUGUCCCUGCCCAAGUCUCAUGUUGAAUUGUAAUCCCCAGCGCUGGCAGUUGGGCCUGGUGGGAAGUGUUUGGAUCAUGGUGGUGGAUCCCUCAUGGUGGAUCCCAGUUCUCAUGAGAUCUGGUCAUUUAAAAGUGUGUGGCACCUCCCCACCACCUCUCUCUCUCGCUCGCUUGCUCGCUCCUGCUUUUACCAUGUGAUGUGCCUGCUCCCCCUUUGCCUUCCGCCAUGAUUGUAAGCUUCCUGAGGCUUCCCUAGAAGCAGAUGUCAGCAUUAUGCUUCCUAUACAGUCUGCAGAACUGUGAGCCAAUUAAACUUCUUUUCUUAUAAAUUACCCAGUCUAGAUGUUUCUUUAUAGCAAUGCAACAAUAGCCUCUUAUGAGUUUGGAAAGGGAUCUGAGCCCAUAUGCCAAGGAACUUGCCUGCCAAAUCUGGACUUUAUCCUUCAGGCCCUGGGAGACCAGUGAGAGGGUGGCAUAAUCCACUCUUUUGGAAGGGUAAAUGUGGCUGUGUGAAGUGUUGGUAGGGGAAGGCAGGGGGUGGGAGAUGAGCAUAUCUUGCUGCCUCCUUCUACCUGUCCUCCAGCCCCCUUAGGCCUGACCAUGGCUGACUUUGCAUCCGGUAGCUCUGAGAUACAGUGCCUUUGCCAAGGACCAUAUUUGAACUGAUCAUUAAUCAAUUCAUUUUGCAGAUCAUUGGUUUAGG